GUGUCAGCCGCCGCGGUAAUACAGAGGGUGCGAGCGUUGUCCGGAAUCACUGGGCGUAAAGGGCGCGUAGGUGGUUGGGUAAGCGUGUGGUGAAAGCCCGGGGCUCAACCCCGGGUCGGCCAUGCGAACUGCCCGACUGGAGCACGGUAGAGGCCAAUGGAAUUCCGGGUGUAGCGGUGGAAUGCGUAGAGAUCCGGAAGAACACCGGUGGCGAAGGCGGUUGGCUGGGCCGUGGCUGACACUGAGGCGCGACAGCGUGGGGAGCAAACAGGAUUAGAUACCCUGGUAGUCC
rnacentral:rRNA from 1 species